UCUGCCUUGGAGUGGGGAAUAACGGCUGGAAACAGCCGCUAAUACCGCAUGAUACAGCUGGGAGGCAUCUCCCUGGCUGUCAAAGAUUUAUCGCUCUGAGAUGAGCUCGCGUCUGAUUAGCUAGUUGGCGGGGUAACGGCCCACCAAGGCGACGAUCAGUAGCCGGACUGAGAGGUUGGCCGGCCACAUUGGGACUGAGACACGGCCCAGACUCCUACGGAAGGCAGCAG
rnacentral:rRNA from 1 species